UGGACCUGAAGCAGGCGAGUGC
rnacentral:rRNA from 1 species